UGGAAGCUGAGUCUUAGACUGGUGAGAAGAUUCGGAAUACAGAAUUCUCUCUUGGAAUGUUUUGAAGCAGAAGACAAAGGCAACUGACCUUUGGUUUGGGGAGAGAAAAAAAAAAAAAAGAAAGAAGAAGAAAGAGAAAG
rnacentral:lncRNA from 1 species